AGGACAGUUCCUUUCCUCAAUCUCUUCCUCUUCUCCCCCUCUCUCAGGAUCUGUUAUUCUUUUCUUUUUGAAAAGAAUAACAGAUCCUGAGAGAGGGGGAGAAGAGGAAGAGAUUGAGGAAAGGAACUGUCCU